rnacentral:pre_miRNA from 1 species
GAUGUUCUUGCCGUCUGGCAGUGUGAUUAGCUGGUUGUGGGCACAUUAUCCUUAGAAUACAACUACUAACUGCACUGCCUAGCGGAGAGUGUCUAA